ACGGCUCAGUAACACGUGGCUAACCUGCCCUUGGGACGGGGACAACCCCGGGAAACUGGGGUUAAUCCCAGAUAGGUGAGAACUCCUGGAAUGGAUUUUCAUCGAAAAGGUGUUGAAGCAUGCUUUCAACGGCGUCCGAGGAUGGGACCGCGGCCGAUCAGGUUGUUGGUGAGGUAACGGCUCACCAAGCCUUUAACCGGUACGGGCCGUGAGAGCGGGAGCCCGGAGAUGGAAUCUGAGACAAAAUUCCAGGCCCUACGGGGCGCAGCAGUCGCGAAAACUCCGCAAUACGCGAAAGCGUGACGGGGCCAGCCCGAGUGCCGUCCGCUGAGGGUGGCUUUUCCCCAGUGUAAUGAGCUGGAGGCAAUAAAAGGAGGGCAAGGAUGGUGUCAGCCGCCGCGGUAAAACCAACUCCCUGAGUGGUGAGGAUUAUUAUUGGGCUUAAAGCGUUCGUAGCUGGCCUGACUAGUCCCGCGUUAAAUCCAACGACCUAAUCGUUGGGCUGCGGGGGACACGGUCAGGCUUGGGGGCGGGAGAGGUUAGCGGUAUUCCCGGGGUAGGGGUAAAAUCUUAUAAUCCCGGGAGGACCACCAGUGGCGAAGGCUGCUAACCAGAACGCGCCCGACGGUGAGGGACGAAAGCUGGGGGAGCGAACCGGAUUAGAUACCCGGGUAGUCCCAGCCGUAAACGAUGCAGGCUAGCUGUUGGGAUGGCCACGAGCCAUUUCAGUGGCGCAGGGAAGCCGUUAAGCCUGCCGCCUGGGAAGUAAGAUCGCAAGAUUGAAACUUAAAGGAAUUGGCGGGGGAG
rnacentral:rRNA from 1 species